rnacentral:rRNA from 1 species
AGAGUUUGAUCAUGGCUCAGAAUCAACGCUGGCGGCGUGCCUAACACAUGCAAGUCGAACGCGAAAGUCCCGCAAGGGAUGAGUAGAGUGGCAAACGGGUGAGUAACACGUGGGUGACCUGCCUUCGAGCGGGGGAUAACGUCCCGAAAGGGACGCUAAUACCGCAUGACAUCCCGCCUUUGAAGAGGUGGAGAUCAAAGCUGGGGAUCGCAAGACCUAGCACUUGAAGAGGGGCCCGCGCCUGAUUAGCUAGUUGGUGGGGUAACGGCUCACCAAGGCAACGAUCAGUAUCCGGCCUGAGAGGGCGGACGGACACACUGGGACUGAGACACGGCCCAGACUCCUACGGGAGGCAGCAGUGGGGAAUUGUUCGCAAUGGGCGCAAGCCUGACGACGCAACGCCGCGUGGAGGAUGAAGACCUUCGGGUCGUAAACUCCUUUCGAUCGAGACGAAUGGCUUCCGGGUAAACAAUCCGGGAGAAUGACGGUACCGAGAGAAGAAGCCCCGGCUAACUCCGUGCCAGCAGCCGCGGUAAUACGGGGGGGGCAAGCGUUGUUCGGAAUUACUGGGCGUAAAGGGCUCGUAGGCGGCCAACUAAGUCAGACGUGAAAUCCCUCGGCUUAACCGGGGAACUGCAUCUGAUACUGGAUGGCUUGAGAUUGGGAGAGGGAUGCGGAAUUCCAGGUGUAGCGGUGAAAUGCGUAGAUAUCUGGAGGACACCGGUGGCGAAGGCGGCAUCCUGGACCAACACUGACGCUGAGGAGCGAAAGCCAGGGGAGCAAACGGGAUUAGAUACCCCGGUAGUCCUGGCCCUAACGAUGAAUGCUUGGUGUGGCGGGUAUCGAUCCCUGCGUGCGAAGCUAACGCAUUAAGCAUCGCUGGGGGAGUACGUCGCAGCUGAAACUCAAGAUGACGG